rnacentral:lncRNA from 1 species
UUCCGUGCCUUUUCUUUUUCUUUUUGGGUCAUGGAGGUUUUUGGUUGGAUGUAUUGGAGUAUGAGGUUUGAGGAAAACCUGUUUGUUCUUUGUUUUUGAGAUAUUUUGUUCAUCCAGAUUAGAAACAGGUUUACCCUUUUUAUGGUUAAAUCUUAGCCCCGUUUGUUUUUUGAGCAAUAAGUUUUCCCUCUGUAUAUGGGUUCUUACAUACAUGGCUGCUAGGGUGGUUGUUCUGCUUGCUCUUUGCUUGUGCCCUUUUAUUUGUGCACAAUUCCUUUUUCAUUUAGUUGUUGCAUUUGAGAUGCAGUGAAUAUAGUGAUUAUUGUGAUUUUAACAAAAUAAUACUAUAUGCUCCCGUGUUGGAAUAUAUAUAAAUUAAAAAAAAAAUUGGUAGGGUACAAUUUAACAAAAUUGUUCUUUUGUUGACUUAUAUUUGCAGAAGGUGUCUCAGUUCAUGACUCGUGCUGCUCGUCUCAACGAAGCGUUCUCAGUUGUUAGACGUGUCCCCAUUAUACGGCCUUCACUAUCUACUGCUGGGGUGAAUCCAUGGCCUGUGAUGAGUUUGAGAUAAAAGGUAAUACUGUGAAAAAAAAAACAACAAAGACCAAGGAAAUUGGUGUUCACAAGGUAAGCUAUAAUAUUAUGUUUGCUUUCGCUGUGUUGUUGUAAGGAUGAUUGUUUACAGUUUACACUUUUCUUUAUGUAUGGGUUCUGAUGUCUAUUCAGUAUGUAAAUUUCAGACUGUAAUUUGUUUCAGUACCCUUUAUAUAUUAAGACCUUAAGCCAAUAUCAUAAAUGCAAAAUCUUGCUAUAUGCAGUUCACAAGCUUGGUUUAGUUGGAUAGUCCACUCCCUGCCCCCUCUCCCUUUUUAUCACUUUCUCUUUUGCAGUGAUGAUGCCUAUGUGCCUACGACCUGCAAUGGUCUGAAAGAAAGAACGUAUAAAGUCAAUGCUUUGCAGCUUUGAAAGAAAGAACAUAUGACUUGAACCGAACCCACUCGAAAUGGGAUAAAUUUUAAUUCGAAGGAAACUGAAAGUAAGUGAUUUGAUGUUUGAUUCAGUUCGAUUUACAGUAAUUGGAAAUUCAAAAUGAUUCGAUAUUUGUGGUGAUUUGAGUUUAAAUUGAUCUAAUAUAAAAUGAUUUGCGAGAUCAUAUGACGUGAAUUGAGCUGAAAUUAAAAUUAUGUGAAUUUUAAAUGAUCUAAACAUGUUCAUAUAUUGAAAACUUUGUAUGAAUAAAGUUACAUAUUUAAUACUUAUUUUCAAGUAGAAAAAUCUCCAAAAAGAAAAAUAUAUUUUUAAAAAUAACUCAAAGAAACAUUUAAAGAGAUUAAAAAAUUAAAAGCUUUACUAAUAUAAAUUUUAAAUAAAAAUUUGUAAUAAUUACCAAAUUGUUGUAAAGAUAUUAUAUAUAUAUACAUAUAUAUUAUUAUACAUAUUAUUGGACUGAGAUUGAAUUACAUGUUUAUAUAUUCAUAUCGUCUUAAAUUCUUGAAAAGAUAUUUCAUCUAAAAUCAAUUAGCAACGUGUUAAUUAGAAUAUUUUGAAUUAUUAUUAAAAUUUAAAUAUGAAUUAUUGUGGAUGAAAAAGGGAAACAAGAAACACGUGCAUGCUUGGAUUUGUUGAGAAAAAGAAAAAAAUCUAUGUAUGGGAGAAAAGUCAGAGGGCAUGGGGAAUCCAAAAUUCAUGGGAAAGUCCAAGGAGUCCUUUUCUCCGUGGCAAGUAAAAGCAAGGUUUUAAGUUUCACUAGAGCAUGCUCAUGGGAUGCACUUCGUGUAAUAUGAACAGAAUAAUAUUUAUUAAAAUAUAUUUAUAUUUCAAUAAUCAUAUGAUAUUCAUUAAAUAAUAUAAGUAUUUAUAAAGCUAUUUAUCUAAUUGACUUAAAAGAUAUAUUGUUAGUGUUUUAUUAUAAUUAGUCACAAAGAACUCUCAUUCCUCAAUAAAGAUACUCGACCAUUGAGCCAAAACUUACAAUUCUAUAUAUGACAUUAUUGGAUGCCUUUGUUUGUUUUUUUGGAUAAAAAAAAAUCUACUGAAUCCAUGGGUACUACACAUUUUUUGCUAAUAUAUUCAACAGAAUCUAAGUUUAGUUUCUCAUCACACGUAAAAACAAAUUAUUUGUAUAAUUGGUCAAAAAAGAAUAUAUAUAAAGAAACUAACAUGAAAUAGUAUAUUGUAAUUGUACUUAAACACCGUAGACAGAAUUUGUAUCAAAGAAUAAGAAAGGUGAUAUAGUAUAACAUACCAUAAGCAUAUAAUGUGCACAUAAAAUAUAUAUAUAAAUAAGUAUGAAAUGUAUACGGAUAAAAGUUGGAAAAUAUUUAUUUAUUAUAUAUUAUUAAUAGCCCACUCAAAAUAAAUUUUUUAUGUUAAUAAUUAAUUAAAAAUAAAAAUCAAACAACCUCACAAACCUACUUAACUCUACCCUAAUUUAAAUUUCUCUACACCUCUUUCUCUUUUUAUUUUUUUCUUCUCUUUUGUUCUUUUUUUUUUUUUCUCUUUUCUNNNNNNNNNNNNNNNNNNNNNNNNNNNNNNNNNNNNNNNNNNNNNNNNNNNNNNNNNNNNNNNNNNNNNNNNNNNNNNNNNNNNNNNNNNNNNNNNNNNNNNNNNNNNNNNNNNNNNNNNNNNNNNNNUUUUAAGUUUAAAUAUAAAUAAAUAAGAAUAUUGAAUGUUGACUAUAUUAUUUUUUUUUUCAGGUUUGAUUAAAAUAUGAGUAAGUUGAAAACAAUUGAUAAAUUUUUUAAAAGAAAAGAGGUAGAUCGCUCAAAUAAUUCUCAUACACUUUAGCCACCAAACCUUAAUACCUCAUCAUCAAAGUUUUGAAGAUAUUAAAACACUUUCUGAAUUAUGCCAAAGAUUAGCAGAAACAAAAAAGUCAAAGAAUUACCACUUGAUUGAUGAUUAAUUCGUCUUAUUUUGACUCUUUCGGUUUCUACAGCAACUACAGAGAAAGCCUUUUCAGCAAUGAAAAUUGUGAAAACAAGACUCCAGAACAAAAUGAAUGAUGAGUUUCUUGCAGAUAAUUUAGUUUUUUAUAUUGAGAAAGAUAUUACCAGUCUUUUCAGUACAUAGUCAAUAAUUGAUGAAUUUGAAUCUAGAAAACAUUGUCGAGCACAACUUUCUUAUAUAACUAUCAUAAGUUUUUUUUUAAAUUUUUUUAUUUACAUGUUAUAUAAAAUUAUUGUCUAUUAUGAAUUUUUUGAUCGUUGAUUAAAUUCAACAUAUUAGUUUUAAAAAUUUUUAGCUUUUAUUUUUUUUCAUCUUUAACCCCCCAACAAAAAUUGGCUAGCUCCGCCCCUGCUUACAGGUUGCGGAUGAGAAUAAUGGAGGGGAGCUGAAAUGGGUGAAAACAGAGGUAGAGUUAGAGAAGCAUGUGAUAAUCCCCAGGGUGGAUGAAGAGAUGGCCUCUCAAGGGGCAGCAGAUAAAUUUGUUGAAGAUUACAUCGCCAACAUUAGCAAAACCAAGAUCAACUUGUCCAUUCCCAUGUGGGAUUGCCAUAUUCUCAACCUCAAAACCUCUGAUGCUGAAUCCGUACUCGUUCUUCGAGUCCAUCACUCUCUGGGGGAUGGCACAUCUCUCAUGUCACUGCUAAUCUCUUGCUCUCGUAAACUAUCUGACCCUCUCGCAUUGCUAACUUUUCCAGCAAUGAAGAAGAAACCAAUGCCUACUACUACUACUACUUGGCUUUGUUUUUGGAUCAGACUUUGGUCUUUUUUCCUGUUGAUUUGGAACACAUCGGUUGAUCUGCUCGUGUGUGUCGCAACAUUGUAUUUCUACAAGGAUACACCAACACCCCUCAAACCUUCUUCAAGGAGGGUUGCUUGUACUCCUGGGAGAAUUGUGCGUCGAACUUUCACUUUGGAUGAUAUCAAAUUGGUGAAGAAUGCAACUAACAUGGUUAGAGAUCAACCAUUUUUCCUCUUUUCUUUUUUUCUAUUUCUUUUUUGUUUUCUUCUUGCUAAUAUAUGAAAACAACUUUUGAUAUAGGUGUAACUGAAGUUUUUGUUCUUAGUUGAUUUGGCUAAUUAUGGUUUACCUAAAAUGUUUUUCAUUGGGCUAUUUGUAGACCGUCAACGACGUCGUCCUAGGAAUCACUCAAGCAGGCUUAUCUCGAUAUCUCAAUCGUAAAUAUGGUAAGUUUACGAGAUAACAUGAAAUGGAACAAAAAUCCUCUGCUCCCAUUUGGUACUGAAAACUCUAACCUUGAAAGUGUAAACUAGAAACCCUAAAUUCUAAACCAUAAUAUGAAAAAUUUAAAAAACAUGUAAUACAAAAUUAUAAAAGGGGCACCAAGUGAUGAUAGAGAAUUUAUAUUCUAUGAAAUAAUACUUUUUAGUUUUCAAUAAAAAAUUGCAGUUUGAGACCAAUUAUUUGCAUAAAAAUUUGAAGGGUGAGAUCCAUAAGUGUAUAUAUAUUUAUAUAGAGAGAGUUAUAAGAAAAAAUAAAUUUGAUUAAUUGGAAACAAAUAUUGAAUUUUACAAUUAUUAUACAAAAUGUAAUAUGAAUUUGUCCGACUACUUUCAAAUAGUAUGUAUGUAAUAUUUUUUCUAUUUCAUAUAUAUUGUCACGGGUUGACUUUUAUUUUUGGUUGUCUAAUUUAAAUGUAUAUAUAUUUAUUUAAAUUUAAUUUGAUAAAAUAUUUAAACUAAUUUGGUUUAAAAUUAAAAAAAAUUCAAAACAAGACAAUAGAUAUAAGACAAAGAAAUUAAAUAAUAAUAAUAAUAAUAAUAAUUUUUUCCUUACGAUAAUGGUAUUGUUGGACACUUUAAUAUUUUUUGUUAAUAAUUUUUCACAAAUAUUUUGAAAAAAAAUAUUAGGAUAUGAAAAAUCUUCAUGGAUCCCUAUAAAACAUGUGCAACCGUCCAAAGAAACAUACUAGUAGUUGAUUGGUUUGAAAGCCCUAUAACUUGGUAUGUUAAUGGCAGGUAAGACUAAGAGAAAUGAAGCUGGUAGGGAAUGGGAAGACAAUCUUCCCAACAAUAUUCGUCUCAGAGCCACUCUCUUUAUCAACUUGAGAUCAUCUCCUGGGAUUUAUGUGAGUAGUUUCCUUACAGUAUCAAAGGGAAAUCAUGGCUUUUGAAUAUACUUUAAUUAUCUCAUUCCCUUUGUGUAAAAUGAAUUUACAGGCCUUGGGUGAGAUGCUGAAGAAGAAUAGCAAGGCCGAAUGGGGCAACAAGAUUGGUUAUGUUCUCUUCCCUUUUAUGAUCGCAUUGAAAGAUAAUCCUUUAGAUUACAUUCGUGAUGUCAAGGUGGCCAUGGAUAGAAAAAAAGCUUCUCUAGAAGCCAAGUUCAGAUUGUUAAUGGCCAUGGUUUUCGUGAGGUUUUAUCGUACCAGAGUAUGAAUCAUGACCCACCAAUGCUUUUUCCCAUUUAUGUAUAUAUAUUUGCCUCUGAUUGCUAAUUAUCAAUCCAUGGACAGUUGGCUAAAUUUCCCUUAACAACUAUGUGGUUCUCGAACAUGGCGGGACCUCAGGACGAGAUCCCCAUAUUUGGCAAUCAAGUUGCCUACAUUGCUCCUUCUUUGUAUGGCCAACCAGUGGUAAUUAGUUCCCCUUUCUUAAAAUGUCUAUAUGAUUAAUGGAAAAAACAGUCACUUGAAUGAUGAGUUUGGGUUGGCAAUUGAACUUUGCAGGCACUGACAGUUCAUGUGGUUAGCUAUGCUAAGAUGAUAAGUAUGGUGUUAUCAAUUGAUGACAACAUUAUUCCUGACCCCUACCAGUUGUGUGAUGACCUUGAAGAGUCCCUCAAACUCAUCAAGAAAUCUGCCAUUUCCCAGUAAUUAAGAAUAAUGAAGGGCCACUUUUAGCUAGUACUGGCCAUAAGUUAGGAUGUGAUGCUAUGUGCAUGAACUGUAGCCAGUUGAGUUCAUUUCAGUUCUAAGUAUUAGGAACUUGAGUGGUAAUGCUUUGUUUAAUACUAUGAAAAUAAAGAGUGUGCAAUUCUUAUAUUUGCCCUCUUCUUUAAUUGUAGAAUAUAUAUAUAUAUAUAUAUAUAUAUAUAUAUAUAUAUAUAUAUAUAUAUAUAUAUAUAUAUAUGUUGUUUCUUGAAUUGGCUUUUAUUUUUCUUCUCAACCGAUCAAAAGAUUUCAUUGAUAAGAAAAUGGUAAUUACAAAGCAGAAGAUGCAAUGGCAGCCUAGACAAGGCAACAUUCAAAUGUUAGAUUGGCAUCUAUUUAUAGAAUGGAAAAGACAGAAAACGACAAGGAAGAUAAGACUUAAACUUGGGAUUUAAUGAUUUCAAAACCUUUUCCUUACCAUAGAGAAAAAGACUUAUUGACCUUUCCCAUUAAAUUUGGAAUCAUAAUACCCUUGACUUUUCUUGCGUAGUUGUAGCUACCUCAAUCCAACCAUGUUUGUCUUGAGAUCUCUGUUCCACUUUUUCAUCUGCAGUCAUGUGUAAAUUCAAAAUUGAGUAAAUUUGGGAUAUCUUGGUUAAUUUACACAUACCAAAAAUCUCCCCAAUAUUGUUAAUUCAUUGUAGGUAAGAUAACUUUUCAAAAAUUUAAGACAAAUCAAUAUUAAUCCAAUACAGUAGCACAUCCUAGUACUAAGCAAGACCUCAAUGCAACACUUGACAACAAUAAUGUAACCAUUGAUAGCAACAAGCAGCACCAUUAGGACAAGAAGACAUCUUAAGAUAUCAGUAGAACAAGAACAUUAUAUAUCAGUAUAUGUAUGUAUGUAUCAUUUGAACCAAUUAAGAUUGAUUGAAAAAUUUAAAAUUUUUAUGUUCAAAAAUAAAUGUUGAUUUUUUUUAUGUGUGAGCAUCCAUAUUAAAUUCAAUAGGUUGUAGGAUGGAGUUCCUCACUAUAUUUUUGUGUUUAGAAUGUCUCAUUUAAUUAAUAUGAGACUUACUUUAUAAUUACAUUAACAAAUAAAGCCGGUGCUUGUUUUGAUAGUAUGUUAGAUUUUUUUAGUAAAAUACCCUCACCUAUCUAACUUUUAGUCAUAAUUCAAUGCAGGUCCAUUAAUUUUCAAAAUAAACAAUCCACCCCAAACACAUGAACGAUGUUAACAGACACGUGUGAAAUGUUAAAAUUACCCUUCUUUCUUUAUACCUCCUUUUCACUAUUUUUUUUAGGCUAGCCGAUGGUCCUUCUGAUUGGCCACCUUGCGCCCUUCACCCUUGUGCUCCCCAGAGGAGCUGGAGCGUGGAUCUCGCACCCCCUCACCCUUGAUGCUCCCUAGGGGAGAGUAGAUCUCGCGCUUCCUUAUAGUUUAUAGUUUAAAAAUAAAAAAUUAUAGUUUAUAUAGUGUGGUAAUUUUUAAAAUUAAUUAAGAGUAAAAUGAUCUUUUCAAUGUUGCCACAUCAUCAAUCUAAUGAAAAUAUUAAAGGUGGAUUAACGGUUAGACUUAUCUGUCCAUGGGAUAAUAUUCUUUUGGGAUGGUUGUCUAUUUUGAAAAUUAAUGAACUUGCAUAGAAUUAUAAUUAAAAGUUAGGGAGGUGAGGGUAUUCUACCUAAAUUUUUUGAAGGCGAACAUCCACCUUAAAAUCAAUUUGUUAUAAGUAGAGUGGCUCUUAGUAUAUUUAUGUGCUUAAGAUGUCCAAACUUAAUUGAUGUAGAAUUUAUUUUAUCAUCAUUUUAAUACAUCAAUAUCAUACUAUUUGUCCUUAUUUGGCUUUCACGAAAAUUUAAAAAAAUUUGAUUUUAAUAUAAUUAGUGUUACAAUUUUAAUCUUUUUUAUAAAAGUGACGUUUUAUGGUUUUACUUUUUUUUGAAAGGUAUGCAAUUUAUUUGCGAAUUGCCAAAGCAAAUUACUUUGAACUUUAUGAUUACAAUGGAAAUAAAAAUAAAAGGCAAUAAAAGAAACCCCCCCAAAGCAUAAAUUUAUGGUUAAAUCGUAGCCCCAUUUUUUUUGAGCAAUAAGUUUUCCCAAUGUAUAUGGGUUCUUACAUACAUGGCUGCUAGGGUGGUUGUUCUGCUUGCUCUUUGCUUGUGCCCUUUUAUUUGUGUACAAUUCCUUUUUCAUUUAGUUGUUGCAUUUGAGAUGCAGUGAAUAUAGUGAUCAAUGUGAUUGCAACAAAAUAAUACUGUAUGUUCUUUUCUUGGAAUAUAAAAAAUUGGUAGGGUACAAUUUAACAAAAUUGUUCUUUUGUUGACUUAUAUUUGCAGAAGGUGUCUUAGUUCAUGACUCGUGCUGCUCGUCUCAACGAAGCAUUUUCAGUUGUAAGACGUGUCCCCAUCAUACGGCCUUCACUACCCACUGCUGGGGUGAAUCCAUGGCCUGUGAUGAGUUUGAGAUAAAAGGUAAUACUGAGAAAAAAAAUCAAAAGACCAAGGAAACUGGUGUCCACAAGGUAAGCUAUAAUAUUAUGUUUGCUUUCGCUGUGUUGUUGUAAGGAUGAUUGUUUUCAGUUUACACUUUUCUUUAUGUAUGGG